UUAACUCAUAUUUGUAUGGAGUUGGAACGUUUGUUUAUGUUUGCCGCUAGGGGCGCUGUUCCAAAUGCAUCCAAAUUUGAGUUU
rnacentral:pre_miRNA from 1 species